rnacentral:sRNA from 1 species
UGCGAGACGAAGCCGUUAUCUUCUUCUUCUUCUGC